ACAAACUGGCAACACGAGAUUGAGUUGCGUAAGAGCGAAAGAGAGAGCACUAUAAAACAAAACCAAAAAUAAUUCUUGCUCUCUCAUCUAUUCAACAUAAACAAACCAGCGGAGAAAAAUGGCAAAAAUUUGAGGAUUUAUGUUGUGCUUGACAAACAAUCAUUUUUGGAUUUUUUCAACUGUUAUUUUACCAAAUAGGAUUACAAAAAGGCAUAUUUCCUCCUAUCUAGACCGUUCCGGAGGCGAGCGGAAAGGGACAAAUCCGAGGCAAAAAUUUGUGUAAUGAAGUUUUCCUUGAUCAUCCUGGAACAUCCGGCUUGGUGUUCCUGCCCCCCAGAGGAUGUGCUGACGGGAAGUGGCGAUGUUUUGGCGGCGAAAAUGACGGUGUACGGAUGGAAGGAUUUAAAGUUUUGGGCAUCAAGACCAGCAGUAAUGGAGUGUUCGCUAGGUUGCAGGAAAAGUAUUGGGCGUAAUAGGUUAUGUAUAAAGUGCAUUAAUUAUCAAAUAAUAAAUUGUUUCCAGUUGUA